rnacentral:lncRNA from 1 species
UUCAGAAUUAUAUUUCACAUUCAAACAUAAUAUUCAUAUAUUAACAAAAAGUCACAUGAUUUCAUUUUCUUAUAUGUCAUAAUCCAUAUGUUAAUUUUACAUCAAAAAGUUACAACAUUGUAAUGACAUUCUAUUAUAUCAUUAUAUCAUCCAAAUAUUACAAAUACAAAAAGUUACCAAAAUAUCAUCAACACAACCAUGAUUUUUAAUGGUUAGUAAG